CACGCGUGUGCUGUACCUAUUGCGAACGUUUCAGAAGUAUGCGUACUCAGCGAAUAUACUAUUGUGAUACCGUUCAGUUAGUCGUUACGUUACGUUGUACUUGACGAUGUCAUUUGACAUGAUUUGUCAAGUUUGUGCCCAUUGCACGUCCUAAGAGGAUGAGCGAUCGAAUGGGUUUAUGGAGAUCUCGAUCGUUGAGGUGAUCUUGUUGUUGUAAAAUUUGAGAGCUCUGCAAAAUGUGGAAUGUACUGGCGAUUGGCGAUUCACACGAUUGGGGUUACGUCGAGUCGUGCGCCAUCAACGGCAACCGCGGUCCGAAAGUUCAACAAUAACUAAUUAAGUGCGAUCGGAAGGUCGUUCCCUUAACAAAUUCAUUUCGACGCAAUCACGAUUUUCGAAUUUAUUUAUUGUUUAACAAUGGAACACACAACGAAUAACCACGUUCUACCGCUGCAGUAUUCGUGCGUUUUGAAUAAUCGCCUAAAUUUGUACUAGUGACAAUUUUAUUAUUGGAUUAAACGGCAGCUAAUGCCGUUCUUUCAUUUUUUUUUUGUGCAACUGAUUUUCAUAUUGUUAUUUUAUUAUCUGUCACGCAGAUUCAUGUUUCACGAUCAAUUCGUUUAGGUCCCGGGCGGAUCGAAAGAGUACAAAAGUAUAUGGUUUUUUCAGCUGUGGUCUGCAGUGUACGUGCAUUAUUUGAAUUCAUUUAUAUGAGUUUAGACGUAACAUCGAUCAGUAGAAUACGAGUAAUAUACAACGAUUGACAGAGCCUGAUUCGAGUAAAAAUUCCAGAUACUUGUUGUUUAAUUACAUGAUAAGCAGUUUUGAAAUUUUAUUUUUUGUAUAU